rnacentral:rRNA from 1 species
GUAAUCGCAGAUCAGAAUGCUGCGGUGAAUACGUUCCCGGGUCUUGUACACACCGCCCGUCACACCAUGGGAGUCGGAAAUGCCCGAAGUCGGUGACCCAACCGUUUACGGAGGGAGCUGCCGAAGGCAGGUCUGGUNACUGGGGUGAAGUCGUAACAAGGUACC